rnacentral:lncRNA from 1 species
GAGAUGGGUUUUGCAUUAUUUUAGUACUAUAUUUGAGAUAUAGCUCAUGACUAGAGAUGGCCUAAGCUACUUGACUGAAUUAAUCGCUCACCAAAACCAAGAUAGAGAAUAAAAAAUGUAUAAAUUGACAAUUGGAUGUUACCUAAGAGCAGCUCCAGCGAGGGAGCCCAGCCCGAGGCGAGGGCAGGAAAAAAAAAAAAAGUCGCUCCAGCGUACAGCCCAGGCCCGGAGGUGGUGUGGGACCCACCAACUCGGGCCAGCCCGAAGGCGAGACCAGCCCGAGGUCCAACUCGCGUGUUGCUGACGUCAGCCUCGCGUCACGCUGACGUCAGCGCGCCAGGUCCAAGGUACGCUGCCACGUGUCGCCUCCCCAGCCUUCCGAUCUGCUUCUCCAAAUUAAUCCAACGGCUGAGGCUUUUUUGGGCAAUAAAAAUAUGAAAAAAAAUCGUAAAUUUUUUUAAAAAAUUCUAAAAAAU